UGAGCGGCGGAGGGUGAGUACACGUGGGUAACCUGCCUGUAAGACUGGGAUAACUCCGGGAAACCGGAGCUAAUACCGGAUAGUUCCUUGAACCGCAUGGUUCAAGGAUGAAAGACGGUUUCGGCUGUCACUUACAGAUGGACCCGCGGCGCAUUAGCUAGUUGGUGAGGUAACGGCUCACCAAGGCGACGAUGCGUAGCCGACCUGAGAGGGUGAUCGGCCACACUGGGACUGAGACACGGCCCAGACUCCUACGGGAGGCAGCAGUAGGGAAUCUUCCGCAAUGGACGAAAGUCUGACGGAGCAACGCCGCGUGAGUGAUGAAGGUUUUCGGAUCGUAAAGCUCUGUUGUUAGGGAAGAACAAGUGCAAGAGUAACUGCUUGCACCUUGACGGUACCUAACCAGAAAGCCACGGCUAACUACGUGCCAGCAGCCGCGGUAAUACGUAGGUGGCAAGCGUUGUCCGGAAUUAUUGGGCGUAAAGGGCUCGCAGGCGGUUUCUUAAGUCUGAUGUGAAAGCCCCCGGCUCAACCGGGGAGGGUCAUGG
rnacentral:rRNA from 1 species